ACAGCCGGGCUGGGGGCGGGGAGCGGGGGCGGGGUGGCGCAGGAAGAAGAAGCAGAAGGUAGGGGGAGGCAGCGGGGUACCGCCCGCGCGAGCGCGCGUGGAGGCCGCACUCUGCGGGGCCGUAGCCCGACGGCCAGCCCACUGGGCUCGCGGCCUGGCGCUGCGGAGGGUCCGGGUGUCCGGCCUGGAAGGCGGACGGGCAAGUUAGUCGCAGCAUCCUGUUCCUGGACAGCCAGCCACUCCGUUUAUUCCAUCAACAGCAGGCUUCCAGAGAACACAGAUCCCACAGGGCGGCUGUCAGAUCCCCAGACAGACAGCAGGAAACGGGCAACUCUCAUGGGCUCCGACUCACGUGGACGAAAGAAAAGGGAAGUGGGAUCCAGGAAGGAGCGCAGGCAGCAGCUUGCCUACUCUGCCUGGCUUCCUUUCCUUCUAGUUGCCGACAUUGGCCUCCUCCAUUUCUUUCUUGCCCCUCAGUGUCUUAAAGUACAUUCUUGUGCAUUUCUCUUCUGUGAUUCUUUUGGUCACAAGUGACAGAAAGCCAGCUCAGUCUGGCUCUUCCAAAUGAGGGAAUUAUUAACUCGAGAGUCUAGUAAGUCUCAAGGUCUGUCUUUCUCCUUUUCAGGGUCAACAUGGUCCAGUGCACACUCCGCUGGGCCACUUAACAUACUGGCUUUUUUUUUUUUUUUUUCCUUUUUGGUACUGGGAAUCAACCUCAGGACCUUGCACUUGCCAGGCAAGCACUUGUGCUGCUGAGUAACAUCCCUGGCCUAACAUUCUGGUCUUUGGAUUAAUCCUGACCUGAGCCAACCUGGAGCUGGUGGGCGCAGGAGGUCAGCCUUUGCUUGCGUAAAGGCUGUGGUAUCUGGAAUCCAAAUGAUGGGAGGCUGACGGUGAAAACUGAAGGCUUCUCACUGGGAUAGGGGAAUUGGCCUGAGGAGAAUUGUCCUCCAGACCUUGGUGCUCUUCCCUGCAGCCACAAGACCUAAGGAAAGGUCAGGGGAGCCCAUUCAAAAGAGCUUUCUUAUCCUGGCCUGUUCUGAGAAGUUUCCUGCGGACUUUCCUGGGUUGCCCUGCAAAUGAUUGUCCUGUGCAUGUCUCAGGGGGCACACUUGCCCAUGGUGACCUGAAAGACUCAAGAGUCCAGCAGCCUUCCAGCAGACUGAAGCUUUGGCCUGCAGCUAGCCAGGCAGCCAGAAUAAAAGCCCAUGGGGAGAAGACCAUCAGAAUACCCGGCUCUGUGAAAACCAACACACAUCCCAUGUAUGACCUAGUACUGAGAAAAGGCACUGUGGUUGAUGGCAGGCCUGGGCAGGACUGCCUAGGAAUGGGGAGCAAGGGGGUGCACAUGGGCCUGCCUGUUCUUGCCUUGCACCUCCAGGAACAAGUGCUUGCCUUUUCAGCUCUUGAAAGGAGAGGUUCUGGCCCCAGGGGAGACUUGACCAGGCACCACUGAGGCUUUUCUGAAUUAAGCAGUGACUCUUUUUAAUAGUGUGGUUACCAAGGAUAGGAGCUCAGGGCCUCAGAGUGGUCAGGCAGGCUGGAGGGUAGCGUGUCCACAGACCGGCCUGACCCCAGCUUGUGGUGGCAUCUGGAGGGUACUCUGGCCCAGAUCCUGUGAGUUUUGGAGGCAUCAAGCCCUCUGCAGACGUACCCGCAUUCCUGCCUCCCUGACUCCUGAUGGCUGGGUAGUCAGCAUGACAGGGACCUCGCCCUCACCUCUCCUGCUAGACUGCCAGCCCCCACACCCUUCUGGGCCUUCUGCUUCUCCCCGCUCCCUGGUAGACCCUCCUCUUCCACUCUGCUGGGGACAGGGGUGGAGUUUUCAAGUCCAAGUUCCCAGGUGGGGGUUGGAGCUGGUUUCUGCAAGUGAGCAGCUCCUCGGAAAUCACUGAGUGCAGAGACACACGGGAAUCCAUAUGCUCCAGCUUUCGCUCUGCCUUGAGACUGUCCUUCCUUGGCAGGGCACUGCGUUGGGCAAGGGGGACGUAGCCAUGGAGAUCUGCCGCUCCCCAGCUCUGAACCGGAGGGUCCACUGCGCCUUGUUCCAGCAUCAGGCCCUCUGCACACAGACUAGUGAGCUGGGGCCAGGGACAGGAAUGACCUCAUACCUAGACCUGACCCCCAGAGCUCUGAUGCUGACCCCAGGUUGGCAGCACCAGUGGGCAGCGUGGGAGACAGGCGGGGGGCAGGAGCACCAGCGUGCAAUGUCUCCAGCAGCUUAUUUUUAGUUGCAUUAUGUAAGUGGCUUCAUCUCAACGUCACGUAGGAAGGGGGGUCUCAGAUUUAAUUACAGGAUGACAGCCUUUGCCUUUCAAGCAAGCUGUUCUCCUGGCAAGGCAGGCUCAAGGAUUGGGAGUUUUCCCUCAACACAGGCAGUCCAUCCAGCAAAACUUAAACUCGUUUUCACCCCUGUCCCCCUCUCUCUCCUGUCGACUCACCUGCUCUGGCUGACCUGGUCUGAGAAGGUGGCCCUUGGUCUGGGAACCCAGGACAGUCUGUGUCUGUUCAGGGAACUUGCUGCAUCCCUCCCUUGGCAGUUUCAGGGUCUCCAAGGGGAGGAGCCACCCAGGCAGAACUCCUCUCUCCUCUUUGCCGGUCCUGGAGUGAUGCUCUUGUAGCCAGAAAGUCGCUGAGCAGACAGUGGAAGGCACAAGAGCAGGGUUCUCAUGGGUUUCUGAGGCAGGGCCAGCAGGGCCGGGUCUGUCCUCUGCUGGCCCUGCCCUGGCUGCCUGCUUCCCUCUAGCAAUUCUGGUCUCUGGGAGGAAUCCGUCCACAUCGCGUGGACACUGCUUUCCCGUUUCCUGGAUUCUAAAUGGCUUGCCGCCUGCUUUGUGCCCUGGGACCUGCCCAUUUGGGAGUCCUGCUCCCUUCCUGCACAUGAGCCAUCUCAGCCACUUUGUCCAGUGGUCCUGCUUUGUAGAGCAGGACCACGGUUACACUGCAAGCUGUCACCUGAGGAGAGGGUCAGGUCUGACUUGGGAGGGUGUAACUUGAGGGGAAAGUUGUAGGGGGUCAGUUCUGGGAGCUGGCUGCUUCUGCUCCUGCAUGGGCAGGAUGGGGCUGCUGGGUGGGUUUCACAGCCUGUUUGUCUGUCUCUUUGUGUUUUUUUCACAGCCUCUCUGAAUGCCUGAGAAUGGAGGGUAAGCUGGGGUAAAGGUCCUCAGAGCCCCUGACCUGGCACACACCACGCCCCCAGUGUGUCUUAGAGGGUGGUUAGGUUGGGUGGGAUAUCUCCAGAGAGCUCCCAAGCGCUGCCGCCCAGAGAGGUGUCCGAGGCCCCUGCCUCCUUCCCUGUGGGCUGUGCAGAGGCUGCACCCUUCCGGAGUACACGAUCCCGAGCAGGGACAGCAGCGUCCUAGAGAGGACCCUCAGCACUGUUCACUUGGUGGCCAAGUCCAGCACCAGUGAGAGGCACAGAGACACUGGCCCCAAUGGAAUCUGUGGGCGCUUCACUUCUUUGAUCUUCCUCUCCAGAACCCUAAACCCCAGGCUAAUUGUGAGAAAAAUAUCACAACUGUCCAGAUCAUUGAAGAAAGAAGUCUGAGACACUGGCAACAAGAGGAGAAAGGACAGCUAAAGGUCAUGUGGGAGGCUGUGUGGGACCUGGGUGCAACCCUAGAGAGGUCUGAAUAAACUGCAGUCUUAGUAA